rnacentral:rRNA from 1 species
AAAAGCCAAUGCAUGCUUUUACAGUAUGAAAAUUGGUGAUUUAUAAUAACUUAGCAAAUCGCAAAGUGAAAACAGGCGGUAAAUCAUUCAAGUUUCUGACCUAUCAGCUUUCGACGGUAUGGUAUUGGCUUACCGUGGCAGUGACGGUUAACGGGGGAUUAGGGUUCGAUUCCGGAGAGGGAGCCUGAGAAACGGCUACCACAUCUAAGGAAGGCAGCAGGCGCGCAAAUUACCCAAUUCUAACAGUUUGAGAGAGGUAGUAACAAGAAAUAACAAUACAAGGCAGUUAAAAUGCUUUGUAAUUGGAAUGAUAGAAAUUUAAACCCUUUUUAAAGUAUCAAUUGGAGGGCAAGUCUGGUGCCAGCAGCCGCGGUAAUUCCAGCUCCAAUAGCGUAUAUUAAAAUUGUUGCAGUUAAAAAGCUCGUAGUUGAAGUUCUGCUAAAAGUAACCGGUCUGCUUUGAAUAAAAGUGGUAUCUUGGUAUGUAUUUAGCAAUGAUGUCCUUUGAAGUGUUUUUUACUUUAUUGUAAUAAAGCAUAUUCA